AAGAAUUAAAUGAAAUAAAUAUAAUAAACGUCUCCAAUAUACAUUAUUAAUGCAGAAAAAACAAAAUUAAAAAAAAAAAAAAAAUUUUAUUUUUUUUAUAAAAUUAAAAAAACCGUCUGUAGUUGUUUAUAAUCCGCACCCCUUGUACAAACUACAUAUUUAAGGAAAAAAAGUGCGGACUAUACAUGCCCAAAUACGGUAA
rnacentral:lncRNA from 1 species